GAUGAACGCUAGCGGCAGGCUUAACACAUGCAAGUCGAGGGGGUAUGCCGAUUUAUCGGCAGAGACCGGCGCACGGGUGCGUAACGCGUAUGCAAUCUACCUUUUCACAGAGGGAUAGCCCAGAGAAAUUUGGAUUAAUACCUCAUAGUAUAGCAAUUUCGCAUGAAACCACUAUUAAAGUUCCAACGGUGAAAGAUGAGCAUGCGUCCCAUUAGCUAGAUGGUAAGGUAACGGCUUACCAUGGCUACGAU
rnacentral:rRNA from 1 species